UAUGCCUACGGGGCGCAGCAGUGGGGGAUAUUGCACAAUGGGGGGAACCCUGAUGCAGCGACGCCGCGUGGGUGAAGAAGCGCCUCGGCGCGUAAAGCCCUGUCAGCAGGGAAGAGAAUGACGGUACCUGAAGAAGAAGCCCCGGCUAACUACGUGCCAGCAGCCGCGGUAAUACGUAGGGGGCAAGCGUUAUCCGGAUUUACUGGGUGUAAAGGGUGCGUAGGCGGCUUGGCAAGUCAGUAGUGAAAUCCAUGGGCUUAACCCAUGAACUGCUAUUGAAACUGUCGCGCUUGAGUGAAGUAGAG
rnacentral:rRNA from 1 species